rnacentral:rRNA from 1 species
UACGUAGGGAGCAAGCGUUGUCCGGAAUCAUUGGGCGUAAAGCGCGCGUAGGUGGCCUCAUAAGUCCGCUGUGAAAGUCAAAGGCUCAACCUUUGGAAGCCGGUGGAUACUGUGAGGCUAGAGUACGGAAGAGGCGAGUGGAAUUCCUGGUGUAGCGGUGGAAUGCGCAGAUAUCAGGAGGAACACCGGUGGCGAAGGCGGUUCUCUGGGCAUGACCUGACGCUGAGGAGCGAAAGCAUGGGGAGCGAACAGG